CCGUGCUAGACGGGGAGGUAGCGGUGCCCUGUAACUCGCAAUCCGCUGUAGCGAGGUUGAAUUCCUGUUAGAGGUUUUGUCGAUGUGGGGUUUGGCGUUUACACUCGGUGUUGACGGCUGGGUCCUCCGCAAUGGGUGCCUAUGAACUUGGUCAGGUCCGGAAGGAAGCAGCCAUAAGUAGGAGAGCUCAUGUGCCGGAGGGAAGCCUGGCCUGAGUCGUAGUGUAGAAGUGCCGCUCGGAUCGCAAUUAUCAAUAACAGGUGCACGG
rnacentral:SRP_RNA from 4 species